rnacentral:rRNA from 1 species
UACGUAGGGUGCGAGCGUUAAUCGGAAUUACUGGGCGUAAAGCGUGCGCAGGCGGUUUGCUAAGACAGGUGUGAAAUCCCCGGGCUUAACCUGGGAACCGCGCUUGUUACUGGCAGGCUUGAGUGUGGCAGAGGGGGGUGGAAUUCCGACGUGUAGCAGUGAAAUGCGUAGAGAUGUGGAGGAACACCGAUGGCGAAGGCAGCCCCCUGGGCUAACACUGACGCUCAUGCACGAAAGCGUGGGGAGCAAACAGG